CCCCUAGAUGUUCUGGGCCGCACGCGCGCUACACUGAACAGUUCAACAAGUCUUAACCUUGGCCGAUAGGUCUGGGUAAUCUUUGAACGCUGUUCGUGAUUGGGAUAGACCUUUGCAAUUAUGGGUCUUCAACGAGGAAUUCCUAGUAAACGCAAGUCAUCAGCUUGCAUUGAUUACGUCCCUACCCUUUGUACACACCGCCCGUCGCACCUACCGAUUGAAUGGUCCGGUGAAAUCUCGGGACGGCGGCUUGGUCGCUUGCGUCCGACUGCUGAAACUUGAUUAAACCAUAUCAUUUAGAGGAAGGUGAAGUCGUAACA
rnacentral:rRNA from 1 species